CCAACUAUUUCAACUAGCUUGUCUGAGCAGCCUUGGCUCUCUUUGGUCUGCUGUCUCCAUGGGUGCCAGGAACUGUGCUGUGAAUAUCUGUGGAUGCUGCAUCAUUAAGCCUAUUGAGUAUCUCACUGUCUGCUGAUAGCCCAACUGUGACUCUGUUCAAACAAAUAAAGGUACCUAAUGGUUGCAACCUGAAUUGUGGGCACAUGGCCCAAGUGGUAAUCAGAGAUGGCCUAUGUCACUGAAGCACAAGACCCACAAGAAGUGCAGAGAAUAACAGAGAUGCAGAGGCUAUUCCCAGAUUCCCACUGGAAGUCCAAUUAGCAGUGACAAAAGGAGACACAGACGGAGGAGAGAGUUGUAGCAGAUGGUCUCUAUCCAGGAAGGAGCAGAAGAGAUGCUGACGUCAAGAAAAGACGGGGGCUGUGACUCUACUGAUGACUCUAUUUCCUGUUCCGGGCUACUUGGCAGGGAUUCUGGCCACAGAGGAAAGGCUCUACACCCAGACACACAAGGAAUAAAGCAGUGUGUGCCUCCCAGAGUGGGUGGAAAGACAAUGAUCAGACAAUGAAAUGCGGUCACAGAGCCAGCAGGAAUGAAGCAACUGGUGUCCAGUAGAGAAGAGGGAGAGAAACCUCAAGGUCUUAAUUUCACAGAGGUUCUUGACACAAGGUGGGAUUCACUGCUGUCUAAAAAGGGGACUUGGGAUCUUGUAGAGUUUUUUUCUGAAGCUACUUCCUCAGUGUGUUGUGUGGCCAAAAUCAGGAAGAAAAUAAAACCUACCUGUUAAGAUAUGUUGCACUCAGAAAA